UUUAAGUGUAAUUAUGAGAUUUUGUGUCUAACAUUAGACCGUCUGUCUUAUAUAAAAAAUAUGAUUUUUUUUUAAAAAAAGUCACGCAUAAAGUAUGUUUUAUCUAUAAUAAAAAUAAAAGUAUUAAUCAAAAAAAAAUUAAAUAAGAUAGAUGGUUAAACUUCGUUGGACAAAGAAACACACUACUGCUUUUUUU
rfam:Oryza sativa (indica cultivar-group) chromosome 4, whole genome shotgun sequence.